rnacentral:rRNA from 1 species
GACGAACGCUGGCGGCGUGCUUAACACAUGCAAGUCGAACGAUGAAGCCGGAGCUUGCUCCGGUGGAUUAGUGGCGAACGGGUGAGUAACACGUGAGCAAUCUGCCCUUGACCCUGGGAUAACUGCGGGAAACUGUAGCUAAUACCGGAUACGACACCUUGGGGCAUCCCAGGGUGUGGAAAGAAUUUCGGUCAAGGAUGAGCUCGCGGCCUAUCAGCUAGUUGGUGAGGUAAUGGCUCACCAAGGCGACGACGGGUAGCCGGCCUGAGAGGGUGACCGGCCACGCUGGAACUGAGACACGGUCCAGACUCCUACGGGAGGCAGCAGUGGGGAAUAUUGCACAAUGGGCGAAAGCCUGAUGCAGCAACGCCGCGUGAGGGAUGAAGGCCUUCGGGUUGUAAACCUCUUUUAGCAGGGAAGAAGCGAAAGUGACGGUACCUGCAGAAAAAGCACCGGCUAACUACGUGCCAGCAGCCGCCGCGG